rnacentral:rRNA from 1 species
UUAAAUAGCUGCAGUAUUUAUAACUGUACAAAGGUAGCAUAAUAAUUAGUUUAUUAAUUAUAAACUAGAAUGAAAGAUUUAAUGUAAUAAAUACUAUUUCAAUUUAAAAAAAUAAAUUUUUUUUUUAAGAAAAAAAACUUAAAUUUUAUUAAAAGACGAGAAGACCCUAUAGAAUUUUAUAUUUAAUUGGGGAGAUUAUAAAAUUUAAUAAACUUUUAUAUAAAUUUACAAUAAUUAUUGAAUAAAUAAUAUUUUAUAAAAAAAUUAAAUUAAAUUACCUUAGGGAUAACAGCAUAA